rnacentral:rRNA from 1 species
AUUGAACGCUGGCGGCAGGCCUAACACAUGCAAGUCGAGCGGAGCGGCGGACGGGUGAGUAAUGCCUAGGAAUCUGCCUGGUCGUGGGGGAUAACGUCCGGAAACGGGCGCUAAUACCGCAUCCUAUCAGAUGAGCCUAGGUCGGAUUAGCUCGUUGGUGGGGUAAAGGCCUACCAGGGCGACGAACCGUAGCUGGUCUGAGAGGAUGAUCAGUCACACUGGAACUGAGACACGGGCCAGACUCCGACGGGAGGCAGCAGUGGGGAAUAGUGGACAAUGGGCGAAAGCCUGAGCCAGCCAUGCCGCGUGUGUGAAGAAGGUCUUCGGGUUGUAAAGUACUUUAAGUUGUGAGGCGUUACCAACAGAAUAAGCACCGGCUAACUUCGUGCCAGCAGCCGCGGUAAUUC